GCUCCCAUGGCGUAGUGGUCACUGCGCUCGCCUUGCACGCGGGAGACCCGGGUUCGAUUCCCGGGCGGGGUCA
rnacentral:tRNA from 1 species